AUUGAACGCUGGCGGCAGGCCUAACACAUGCAAGUCGAGCGGAGCGGGGGACGGGUGAGUAAUGCCUAGGAAUCUGACUGGUAGUGGGGGAUAACGUCCGGUAACGGGCGCUAAUACCGCAUACUAUCAGAUGAGCCUAGGUCGGAUUGGCUAGUUGGUGGGGUAAGGGCCUACCAAGGCGACGAUCCGUAACUGGUCUGGGAGGAUGAUCAGUCACACUGGAACUGAGACACGGUCCAGACUCCUACGGGAGGCAGCAGUGGGGAAUAUUGGACAAUGGGCGAAAGCCUGAUGCAGCCAUGCCGCGUGUGUGAAGAAGGUCUUCGGAUUGUAAAGCACUUUAAGCUGGGAGGCGUUACCAACAGAAUAAGCACCGGCUAACUUCGUGCCAGCAGCCGCGGUAAUUC
rnacentral:rRNA from 1 species